AGUGAACGCUGGCGGUAGGCCUAACACAUGCCAGUCGAACGGCAGCACAGUAAGAGCUUGCUCUUACGGGUGGCGAGUGGCGGACGGGUGAGGAAUACAUCGGAAUCUACUUUUUCGUGGGGGAUAACGUAGGGAAACUUACGCUAAUACCGCAUACGACCUACGGGUGAAAGCAGGGGAUCUUCGGACCUUGCGCGAUUGAAUGAGCCGAUGUCGGAUUAGCCAGUUGGCGGGGUAAAGGCCCACCAAGGCGACGAUCCGUAGCUGGUCUGAGAGGAUGAUCAGCCACACUGGAACUGAGACACGGUCCAGACUCCUACGGGAGGCAGCAGUGGGGAAUAUUGGACAAUGGGCGCAAGCCUGAUCCAGCCAUACCGCGUGGGUGAAGAAGGCCUUCGGGUUGUAAAGCCCUUUUGUUGGGAAAGAAAAGCAGCAGGUUAAUACCCCGCUGUUCUGACGGUACCCAAAGAAUAAGCACCGGCUAACUUCGUG
rnacentral:rRNA from 1 species